UGGAUGGGUUGACCCUUCAGCUUUUGAAAUGAACUUUGAUUGGUUUGAGUGAAUCAGUAAAGCCCAUCACACUGGCCAUCGUGAUUGGUUUGGGAAUGGGUCCAUGCCAUAAUUCCAACUAACGAGACAUGUUCACUGGAGGUGAACUAGGAAGCACAAAGUCUCAGACAUACUAUAUCAGUCUCAGUAUGAAGGCAGUGCUAUGGACAUCAGAGUCCUUGAUGACAGGGUUCAGGCUCUGGAUCAACCCAUCCACAGAGGUCGUGAGGAUGGAGCACCAUGUUGGGAUUAGUGCCCUUGUAAGAAAAGACGGAAGAAAGCCUCUCUUGCUCUCUCUGCCAUGUGAGGACAUAUGUGAUAAGGCAGCUGUUUGUAAGCCAGGAAGAGAGCCUCACCAGAACCUAACCAUGGCAGCUCCAUGCCUCUGAAAUGAUUCACAGGCAAGCUACCUUUGGGGGGCUCUGAGGGUGGCAUCGUCACCUAAAUAAAUGAAGAUUACAAAGAAGAACAAGGAGGAGAAGGGGAAGGAAAGAAAAGGAUGGUCCCUAGGCUUUGUGAUUCAAAAUAGGGGGAAUGGAUAAACAGAGACAAGACUGAAAAGGCGGAAGGAAAGGAGGAGAUGAACAAAAGACAGAACAGAAGAAAUGGAAAGUGAGGGGUUAAGACAGUGAGGAGCUCCAGAGCUGCUGAAAUGUAAGAAUCAGGCUCUGAGCUACUGUGCUGGGGAUACCAAGAUGAGUAGGCCAUGGUCCCUGCCUUCAUGAAGUUAAAGUCUGGUGGGAAAGACAGAGAAGUCUACACAAUUUUCAUACCUAUGAUAACUGCUACAACAGAGAUAUCUCAUUCGGUCGAUAUUUAUUAACAAUUUACAAGUUUUAGGCACUAGGAAUGUUACAGUGAGCUAGACAGACACAAUCUCUACCUUAAUGGAGCUCAUGUCCAAUGGGAGCCCCAAGUUACAAGGGACACAGAAGAGGGGGCCCUAAUUCAAACUGAGAAUCAUCAGUAAAGGACUCCCGAAGGUUCUGAAGCUUCCACUGAAUCUUUUUUUUUUUGUCUGUGUUGGGUCUUCGUUGCUGUGCACGGGCUUUCUCUAGUUGCGGCAAGCGGGGGGCUACUCUUUGUUGCGGUGCGCCUGCUUCUCAUUGCGGUGGCUUCUCAUUGUGGAGCACGGGCUCUAGGCGCGCAGGCUUCAGUAGUUGUGGCACGCGGGCUCCAUAGUUGUGGCUCGUGGGCUCUAGAGCGCAGGCUCAGUAGUUGUGGUGCACGGGCUCAGUUGUUCCACGGCAUGUGGGAUCUUCCCGGGCCAGGGCUCGAACCCAUGUCCCCUGCGUUGGCAGGCAGAUUCUUAACCACUGCACCACCAGGGAAGCCCCUCCACUGCAUCUUAAAACCUCAUAUCAUCCAGGCCCAAGAAGAGGGGAGAGUAAUCCUGGCAGAAAAGACAGCAUGGGCAAAGGCCCGGAGGUAUGAAAGAGAGCGUGGCACAUUCAGAGAACUGGCAACACCACAGCCAAGGGGGCUUCCCAAGAGCCCAACUCUUGGGAUUUGUCUAAUGGCUUCUCCCCUUCCUCCAUCCUCAUGCUUAAGGCCGCCUUUCCCCUUCCACUUAAUAACAGUCUUCAGGGUUCAGACAUGCACAGUUGUCUUCCAGCUCAUUCUACAAACCCAGAACGCCACUAUUCUGACACCGUUUAUACGGCAGUUUCAGGCGAAAACCUUCUUCCUCUCUUCAGACUGAGACCGCUUCCCAGACGCACCCCGUUUCCUCUUUUCUGCUCCCACCACCAGAAAAGGUCUCCAGGUGGCGCCCUUUCACUCAGUUCUGCUAUGGUCAGGCACACCCAUUUUCCCACCUAAUUUCCUCUCCACUGAAUUUCCUCCCCGCAAACCCCAGGGCUGGAACCUUAAUCUGAGGAAGAGGAUCACAGGAAGCAUAUUCAAUACACAAGCCAGUGAAGUUGUUCAGUUUGCGCCUCUCCCUUAGUUCAAGCAGCAGGGUUCAUUGUUAGCUCUCUCCUCCCUUCAGCUUCCGUUGCAGCACAUUGUGCCUCCUACCCAAGACUUCCCCAACUCCACCCACCGUAAGCUGGAUGGUCCCCACUCCUCGGUGAAGUUUUUCUUUUCACACAGACAAUGCGUGCUCAAAGAAUUGUUCCUCGGAUGAUUUGACAUCUGGACACGGAUGAGGGUACAUUUUUAAGGGGGAAAAAAAAAGAAUCGAGAUCCAACAUGCCAAUCCCUAUCCCCUGCUCUUCGCCUAAGAGAGAACCGGAAGGAUGUUUCCCUCCCGUAGACGCUGCUGUCAAGAAGCAAGCUGCUGAGAAUUCCCUGGUGGUCCAGUGGUUAGGACUCCGCGCUUUCACUGCUGAGGGCCUGGCUUUGGGGAACUAAGAUUAUGCAAGCCGUGUAGCGCGGCCGAAGAAAACAGCAAGCUGCUACUGAUCUCCUCAUGGAGUAACCUGUUUUAACGAUCACAACAAUCGUGGCAAUUGCUUCCCCCGACCGUUUCCCCUCCCCACCAUGUUUCUAGCCAUGCUUACUAACACUGAGGCAGGAAAAUAAGACCCCAACAGAAAGGUAGUGAGGAAUUGUUAUCAACGUUCCUGAGAGCAAAAGCCAGGCGUAAAUAAUCUUGGUAACCCACAUAGCACCUAGCACAGUGCCUUAUCUAGUCCAGGCGGAUUACUCUGUAUCAGACACAAAUAGAGCAAAAAAUACGUGAUGGAUUCCAGCCUACUCGGAGAAUGGAAGCUGCAGCAGUACAAGGCCAAUUCCAGGGUUUACCCUAAAGUCCAUUUCCCUGUUUAUUUCCACUUACUAUGUAUGGGUUGAGAAGGUGUUUCAAUUGCUCUAUCAGACAACGUUUAUUGAGCAUACGCUGCCUACUGGUGCUGUGACCCUGUGACUGGAUGAGAAUUCUCAUAGGGCCAAUCGGACAUAAGGACUUACCCUACUAAUGACAUAAACAACGCUUCUAAUGAGCUCUUCCUUAGCAUGCUUGUCCACUCGGGAAUAACCAAACUGCAGGGCAGUUAUGGAUUAAAGAUAGCUGUCAAUUUUUUGCUGCUUCUCCCAUUGUUAUGUGGAGUCUGAGUCCUCUUUCCUUGAAUCUGGCUGGCCUGAGUGACUUGCUUGACCAAUAGAGUGUGAUGGAAGUGAAGUAAGUUCUGGGACUUUCAAGACUACAUUAUAAGAAGCCUUGCAGCUUCCACCCAGACCUCCUGGAACAACUGCUCUGGAGUAAACCAGCCACUAUACAAGAAAUCUGAUUACCCUGACACCACCCUGCUGUUAGGAAGCUGGAGCUGGGAAAGGGCAUAUGGAAAGAUACUUUACCAGCCCAGCUUUACACGAGUGAAGAAACCUUCAGAUGGCUCUAGACUCAGCUGUCAUCUGAUAGUCACUGAAUGAAGGACCCCACGUGAGAACCACCCAACUGAGCUUAUCAACCCCUAGAAACAUCAUAGAUAAUGAUAAAGUAUUUGUUCUUCUAUACUACAUCAAAAACAAACAACUCUGGCUAGGUAAGUUAUUAUCAUUGGGGGAAGCUGAGUGAAGUGUACAUAGGAAAUCUCUGUAGCAUUUUGCAACUACUUAUGAAUCCUAAAUUACUUUUUAAGUUAAAAUGCUAGUGUCUUGAUCUGGAGAAAAUCUAUUUUGAAAGAACUAAAGACAGCUGGAGAUUUUCCCUGAGCCACAUUCCAGAUGCUGACAAUGCCAGCACUGGCUGCAGCCAACAGGUGUGUGUAACUACAGCCCUAAGUACAUUUGCUGGCUUUGAAAGCUCUGGGGAAGGCUCUGACCCCCCACCCUCCCAAUGCCAGUGACUCAGCCUUAAUCCUAAUGUUUCAAUCAUCACAUUCGUGUCUCCUACUGGGGAAACACCCAGCUCUUCCUUCUACCUAGUGAGGAAAGAGACUGCGUCAGCUCUUCGUUUUUCAAAGUCUGACAUAAUGAUAUGAACAGGCAUGAAAUGUCACCCAGCGAAAGGAGAUUUUCUCUGCUAGCAUUUUUUUUUAAUACCUCUUUUCUUUGGUUCAAAACAAAAAUCUCAUAACAAACAAGUGAAUUCAUGUCUUCAUUCUGCAGUGCUUUAGUGAUAUCCCCCCUUCUCUAGCUCUCAGGGAGACCAUGCACCUCACAGAGACUAAUUUUUCUCCCCUCUGAACUAGGCACUGUUGGCAUAUGGAAGUGUGAGAGACAAAAGACUAUAGUGGAAAAGCUUUGGACUUUAAUGACCUGGGCUGACAUCUCAGUUUUGCCAUUUGCAAUACAGCCUUGGGAUAGUUUUUCAUUCUCUCUGAGGGGCAAGAAAGGUCUCCUUACAAACCUCAGGGACUUGUGAAAAUCUCAAGUGAGUGCAGUGCUUUGUCAACCAGUGGGCCAGUGAAGGCUAUUAUUAUCACAUACCAUUGUGUAGCUGGAGGUCAGAGAAGGAAGAGGGAACUGGGCAGGAGCUGUCAGGGGGGACUUGAUGGAGGACAUGGGUCUAAAGUGGACCUUGGAGGAAGGAAAGGAUUGGGAAAGGCAGAAAAGGCAUUCCUCCCAAGAGGAACUGAGGAAGGGAUUAUAUCCUGUGGGGGAGGGAUGAAAGUAAGGAAACUUGACCUAACCUGUGAGAGUGGUUUUGAUUGAGAAACCAUAUGAAAAACAAGUUUAGGGAGAUAAAAGUUCCUCAGAUUGGAAGUACCUAGAAAAAUAAAGGUGUAGGAAAGGGGAAAGGUACUGGAUGAAGGAUGCUCACCAACUUCUUACCUGCACUGUACCACAGAAUAUAUCCCAUUCUUCUGAAAUAUUUAUUGCUCUCGUCUAUACUGCAAAACCACCAUAGUGAACCAUGUUGGAGAAUCGAAAUUAUGACAGUAACGAUGUAAUCAAACAGUUAGAUUGAUGGAUACAAUGUGUAGGGACGAGGUUCUGAAAUUUAUUCUUUAUGAUCUCAGAAACAAAAUGAUGUUUAUCCAGUGGGAUGUCUUCUAAAAAAUGUAACAAAGUGUCUUCCUACUCAGAAGUUUCUAGGAAAGGGAGCCCUGUACCUUUCUUUUCUUUCACACACUGAUCUACCCCAGGGCUAAAUCAGCACACUAAGAAGAAAGGGCAGCAUGUGUCCCUACACAGCCCUUCACCAAGAUUCCAUCCAGCUAGAAUCUCCAUAGCUCCAGUCUGUGAUAUUCUCUGACCAUGGACAUCUUGCAACUAUUUUUGCAUGGGUUCUUCCAAGACACUAAAUAAAUCUCCUUACAGGGUAAAGACCAUGAAUCAUGAAAAGAUCUCAUUUUUUUGUAAAGUGGUUCCUAAUGUUUCUUUGGCGUCUUAUUACUUUUGGGGGACCCCUUUUGUUUAACCUAAGCUUCUUUCUCAUAAAAAGGAAAUAACCUGAAGAAUCUGGUUGAAUGCUAGAGAAAUGCAAGGUAUGACAAAUGUAAGAGGAAAUUCAGACAUAUUGUGGCUAAAGACCAUUUCAAAAGAAUCAUGUUAAGACCUCAAAAGCUGCUGUCUCUCCUGUCCUUGCAAGAAUCAUCCAACAAUUUUUUUUUACAAAAUUAUGGCUAGUCUUUGUAUUCAAAUUACUACUUGCAAAGCUACAGAGCCAAAAUAAAUAAAAUGAUUUCAAAGUGAGAAAAACUUCGUUGAUGCCCCAAGACUUGAAGUCUGUGAUUGUAUCUUGUUCUUUUUGUAUUCCUGUUACUUAGCACAAUAAGUGUUUGUUGAAUGAAUAAAUGAAUACAGUG